rnacentral:rRNA from 1 species
CGGUGUUUAACUGGCGUGAUGUGGGACGUCCUACCGGUGGGCUUAGCCUCGCGAGGGGCGGCCCAACUAAUAUCCCGUCGCGGUGCUCUUUACUGAGUGUCGAGUCGGGCCGGUACGUUUACUUUGAACAAAUUAGAGUGCUUAAAGCAGGCUAUCCUCGCCUGAAUACUGCGUGCAUGGAAUAAUGGAAUAGGACCUCGGUUCUAUUUUGUUGGUUUUCGGGACCCCGAGGUAAUGAUUAAUAGGGACAGAUGGGGGCAUUCGUAUUGCGACGUUAGAGGUGAAAUUCUUGGAUCGUCGCAAGACGGACAGAAGCGAAAGCAUUUGCCAAAAAUGUUUUCAUUAAUCAAGAACGAAAGUUAGAGGUUCGAAGGCGAUCAGAUACCGCCCUAGUUCUAACCAUAAACGAUGCCAGCUAGCGAUCCGCCGAAGUUCCUCCGAUGACUCGGCGGGCAGCUUCCGGGAAACCAAAGCUUUUGGGUUCCGGGGGAAGUAUGGUUGCAAAGCUGAAACUUAAAGGAAUUGACGGAAGGGCACCACCAGGAGUGGAGCCUGCGGCUUAAUUUGACUCAACACGGGAAACCUCACCAGGCCCAGACACCGGAAGGAUUGACAGAUUGAUAGCUCUUUCUUGAUUCGGUGGGUGGUGGUGCAUGGCCGUUCUUAGUUGGUGGAGCGAUUUGUCUGGUUAAUUCCGAUAACGAACGAGACUCUAGCCUGCUAAAUAGGCGUACCUUAUGGUAUCGCGAAGGCCCCCGGCUUCGGCCGGUGGGUUUUUACUACCAACGUACAAACAAAUCUUCUUAGAGGGACAGGCGG